rnacentral:rRNA from 1 species
GAUGAACGCUGGCGGCGUGCCUAACACAUGCAAGACGAGCGGAGAGGUUGCGGAGAUUCAAUCGAUGAUCUGCUUCUUCUUAGCGGCGGAUGGGUGAGUAACACGUGGGUAACCUGCCCUGCACUGGGGAAUAACAGUUGGAAACGACUGUUAAUACCGCAUAUGCGCACGGGGUCGCAUGACCCCGGGCGGAAAGAUUUAUCGGUGCAGGAUGGGCCCGCGUCGGAUUAACUGGUUGGUGAGGUAAUGGCCCACCAAGGUGAUGAUCCGUAGCCGACCUGAGAGGGUGACCGGCCACAUUGGGACUGAGACACGGCCCAAACUCCUACGGGAGGCAGCAGUGGGGGAUAUUGCACAAUGGGCGCAAGCCUGAUGCAGCGACGCCGCGUGAAGGAAGACGUAUUUCGGUAUGUAAACUUCUAUCAGCGGGGAAGAAGAUGACGGUACCCGACUAAGAAGCCCCAGCUAAUUACGUGCCAGCCGCCGCCGUAAGAC